GACGAACGCUGGCGGCGUGCUUAACACAUGCAAGUCGAACGGAAAGGCCCUGCUUGCAGGGUACUCGAGUGGCGAACGGGUGAGUAACACGUGGGUGAUCUGCCCUGCACUUCGGGAUAAGCCUUGGAAACUGGGUCUAAUACCGGAUAGGAGCCAUUUUUAGUGUGAUGGUUGGAAAGUUUUUUCGGUGUAGGAUGAGCUCGCGGCCUAUCAGCUUGUUGGUGGGGUAAUGGCCUACCAAGGCGGCGACGGGUAGCCGGCCUGAGAGGGUGGACGGCCACAUUGGGACUGAGAUACGGCCCAGACUCCUACGGGAGGCAGCAGUGGGGAAUAUUGCACAAUGGGCGCAAGCCUGAUGCAGCGACGCCGCGUGGGGGAUGACGGCCUUCAGGUUGUAAACUCCUUUCGCUAGGGACGAAGCUUUUUGUGACGGUACCUAGAUAAGAAGCACCGGCUAACUACGUG
rnacentral:rRNA from 1 species